UCGAAUCGGAUCGGAGACAGGGCACAAAAAUCAUCACAUCGGGGUCAAAUCUAAUCUCGUGACCUUGAGGUUUACUCGAUUAAAGUUGCAUCAUUUCUGAUAAUUUUUCGAAAUUUUUUGUGAUUUGUCGUUCGGGUGAUACUCUUCCGAACCCUUGUUCCGUAGUUUCACGAUCGCAAACCGGUUAGUUCCAAUUUUGACAUCGUAAAAGUUACUUCGACACAACUUUUUUUUUGUUAUAUUUACACACAAAUUGCUGCUCGAUUGUUGUGUUUUUGUCGGAGUUCUAUGAAAUUUCUGCGAAAAAUUAGCUUCCGUGCUGCCGUGAUUCGACAUUUGAUCGUAAACUCGUGAAAUUUAUCGGUAAUUACCAAUGGAAACUGUGAUAAAGGACGGCCAGAUCGCGAGUGACGACGCGAAAUUCGACGAAGAAUCGUCGUCGACGCAAUUCCCCUUUGAUGAGUCGUUCGACGUGCCGUCGUCAGCUGGCGAUGAAAACAAUCAAGGUGCCCCCCAGAAGAAUCAAUUAACGCCACGACGCGACGAAGAUGACGAUACGUCGGACGAGGAACUACACUUUGCUGGUGUUGGUAGCAGUAGUUGCACACUAUUCAAUCCUUUGUUCACGAGCAGUGUGUCGUCGUCGUCGCUACAGCAAUCUCGCGAUCUCGAACGGAGUGUCAGCACGUCAGACGAUAAUCCCCGCGACAAUCAUCUGAACAACAAUAACAAAAAGCCUCUCUGCGAAAUCGGUCGAAGUUACAGUGUCGCGCAAGAUUCCCGCACGGAGAAGCAACGCGCUGCCAUGCUCGAGCAACUCAGACAUCGUCGCCAAUUACUGCGAGACAGUUCUUUCCAAUCGGAUUCGAGUCACGCGAGUCACUGUUCCAGCAUCGAAUGUCUCCUGGACUCCCGAAAAUCAGAUCCGGAAGCGAUUUUGACAAAUUUGGGCUUCAAAUCGCCCAAAACCGAAGACAUUCUCUCGAAAAUCCCGAAACGCUUUCUGCAACCAUCCAAAGUACGUGGCGUCAAUACGGAAGAGUUCCUGCAAAAACAACAACUCGCAAAGCACUUACACGACACCUCGGUGCUCGGGUAUCGUGGCUUGAUCGGAAAUCCAGAUAUUGCGCCGUCAAGUAUUGUCGCCAAGAUCAUGGAACGCUUUCAGAUCAACGAUAGUAGUCGCUUGAAGGCCGAAUAUUUGCUCAACAAUAAUCUCAGUCACUUGCAACGAUUUCAGGAUAGACCGAGAUCCGCGCCGCCAAAUCAUCCGCCUUCCUUUGCGGAUAUCGCGACGACAGUCGUGCAAAAUAUUCCGAAAAGUUAGCAGUUUAUACUUAAAAAAAUCCUAUCGUACUUGUUGAAUUUAUAUCGCAAGCCUAUUUGUUAGUCAUAUUUGUUACUUAAAAAAAAUAAUUUCUAAAGAAAAUCCAUUAAUUGUUAAUAAAUAUAAAUAAAAAGUUAAAGUAAGGGGAAUUUCCUCUGAACAUAAAAA